CAGUCUUUAUAUUAGGACAAGAUUAAGUUUAUAUAUCUAAUAUGUAGAUUAAGUUUAUAUAUCUAAUGUGUAGAUCUAACAUAUAUAUUGGAUAAAUACUUAGUUGUGCAAGAUUGACUAUGUCGAAUAAAGUUCUAGAUAGAGUUAUGAUAAUGACAUUUUCUAUCUAUGUGUCUUGACCAAAUCACGUGCCAGCAGUCGCGGCAAGACGUGGAAGACUAGUGUUAUUCAUCUUUAUUUGGUUUAAAGGGUACCUAGACGGCUAAUCAAGCCCCUAAAGGGUACUAAUUGGCUAGAGUUUUAUGUGAAAAGGGGAGUACUAAAGUGUGGAGAGAUGAAAUUCGGUGAUACCUAUCUGGAACAGUCAACGGCGAAAGCGACCUUUUAUGUAAAAACUGACGUUGAAGGACGAAGGCUUAGGGCACCAAUAGGAUUAGAUACCCUAGCAGUCUAAGCAGACAAUGAUGAAUGUCAUAGAUUAGAAUUAUAAUUUUGUCUAUAAAUGAAAGUGUAAGCAUUCCACCUCAAGAGUAACGCGGCAACGCCGGAAUUGAAAUCAUUAGACCGUUUCUGAAACCAGUAGUGGAGUAUGUUGUUUAAUUUGAUUGUACGCAAAAACCUUACCACAGUCUGAAUAGAUAUCUAAAUAUCAUACAAGCGCUGCACGGCUGUCUUCAGUUAAUGUCGUGAGAUGUUGGUUAGUUCCAUUAAAUUAACGUAAACCCUUACUUUAUUUUUUAUUAUGAAGUAGUUCACCGACACAAUGGUCAUGAUAAAAGGGAUUAAGACAAGUCAAUAUGGCCUUAGCACUGUGGGCUAUAGACGUGC
rnacentral:rRNA from 1 species